rfam:Sulfurimonas sp. RIFOXYB2_FTLL_37_5 rifoxyb2_full_scaffold_9652, whole genome shotgun sequence.
GUAGGGUUUUCGUGUGUCGGUGCUAUCGUUUGAGAUAUGUUAACUCUGUCGAGAUAAUGCUGCCGUUAGAAAAUUCUCUCUUCGCCCAAAUACGGCUUUUUAGAACCAAGCCAAAUGCGAGACGGCUACUCGGGC